rnacentral:rRNA from 1 species
ACUCCUACGGGAGGCAGCAGUGGGGAAUAUUGCACAAUGGGCGCAAGCCUGAUGCAGCCAUGCCGCGUGUGUGAAGAAGGCCUUCGGGUUGUAAAGCACUUUCAGUCGUGAGGAAGGUAGUGUAGUUAAUAGCUGCAUUAUUUGACGUUAGCGACAGAAGAAGCACCGGCUAACUCCGUGCCAGCAGCCGCGGUAAUACGGAGGGUGCGAGCGUUAAUCGGAAUUACUGGGCGUAAAGCGCAUGCAGGUGGUUGUUAAGUCAGAUGUGAAAGCCCGGGGCUCAACCUCGGAAUAGCAUUUGAAACUGGCAGACUAGAGUACUGUAGAGGGGGUAGAAUUUCAGGUGUAGCGGUGAAAUGCGUAGAGAUCUGAAGGAAUACCGGUGGCGAAGGCGGCCCCUGGACAGAUACUGACACUCAGAUGCGAAA